UCGGGAAUUUUGGGCAAUGGGCGAAAGCCUGACCCAGCAACGCCGCGUGAAGGAUGAAGUAUUUCGGUAUGUAAACUUCGAAAGAAUGGGAAGAAUAAAUGACGGUACCAUUUAUAAGGUCCGGCUAACUACGUGCCAGCAGCCGCGGUAAUACGUAGGGACCAAGCGUUGUUCGGAUUUACUGGGCGUAAAGGGCGCGUAGGCGGCGUGUUAAGUCAGCUGUGAAAUCUCCGAGCUUAACUCGGAACGGUCAGCUGAUACUGAUGUGCUAGAGUGCAGAAGGGGCAAUCGGAAUUCUUGGUGUAGCGGUGAAAUGCGUAGAUAUCAAGAGGAACACCUGAGGUGAAGACGGGUUGCUGGGCUGACACUGACGCUGAGGCGCGAAAGCUAGGGUAGCAAACGGG
rnacentral:rRNA from 1 species